AGUGAAUAGAUACCCUGGUAGUCCUAGCCGUAAACGAUACUCGCUAGGUGUCGGCCACGGUGCGACCGUUGUCGGUGCCGUAGGGAAAGCCGUGAAGCGAGCCACCUGGGAAGUACGGCCGCAAGGCUGAAACUUAAAGGAAUUGGCGGGGGAGCACCACAACGGGUGGAGCUUGCGGUUUAAAUUGGAUUCAACGCCGGAAAUCUUACCGGGACCGACAGCAAUAUGAGGGCCAGGCUGAAGACUUUGCCGGAUUAGCUGAGAGGUGGUGCAUGGCCGUCGUCAGUUCGUACUGUGAAGCAUCCUGUUAAGUCAGGCAACGAGCGAGACCCACGCCCACAGUUGCCAGCGUACUCUCC
rnacentral:rRNA from 1 species